rnacentral:rRNA from 1 species
GACGAACGCUGGCGGCGUGCCUAAUACAUGCAAGUAGAACGCACAGUUUAUACCGUAGCUUGCUACACCAUAAACUGUGAGUUGCGAACGGGUGAGUAACGCGUAGGUAACCUGCCUGGUAGCGGGGGAUAACUAUUGGAAACGAUAGCUAAUACCGCAUAAUAUUGAUUAUUGCAUGAUAAUUGAUUGAAAGAUGCUAUUGCAUCACUACCAGAUGGACCUGCGUUGUAUUAGCUAGUAGGUGAGGUAACGGCUCACCUAGGCGACGAUACAUAGCCGACCUGAGAGGGUGAUCGGCCACACUGGGACUGAGACACGGCCCAGACUCCUACGGGAGGCGGCAGUAGGGAAUCUUCGGCAAUGGACGAAAGUCUGACCGAGCAACGCCGCGUGAGUGAAGAAGGUUUUCGGAUCGUAAAGCUCUGUUGUAAGAGAAGAACGGGUGUGAGAGUGGAAAGUUCACACUGUGACGGUAUCUUACCAGAAAGGGACGGCUAACUACGUG